UGUUAACCCACACAGCUUUUGGCGUACCUGAUGCUGGUCUUCACUUCUCUCUGCAGUGACCUGUCACCAUUUGGGUUGAGCUAGUCUGCUGCCAUUUAAAGUCAACCAGUUUCAGCAACAAUGGGAACAACGGUCUGGCAGACAUCAGAGGCUUUUGGUUCAGAAACUGAUUUAUAUCCACAGCAGGGAAUAUGCAAUGUUCCUGUCCCUGCCGUGGAUGACCAUUGUUUCUGGGUUGCUGCAGACUAGCAUCAGGGUCCAAAGAAGCAGAGGAAAACUAGCUGAAGAAAACCACUUUGAUCAGCCCCAGACUAGCACAGAAUCACUGAAGCCAGAAUUGUUGAAACACCAAGCUGUGACGCUAUAUCAAGUCUAAACUGAUCCAGCUCAGGCCCGUUGUUCAUGCAGGCUGAGAUGAAUUUCCAGAGUGGCUAAAGCACUCCUCCUGCCAAAUUUCAUUUCUUUACUUUGAUGUAUGGGCCCUUUGGGACUGUCUAAAGACAAAGUUGCUGUUCUUUUUAAUGUGAGGGAAACAGCACAUUUUUUCUUGUACUUGUUGGAGAGCGAAACCAUUUUGGCUGAAAUGUUUAUACAUACUCAGUCUGAGGCAAUUCUUGAUACUUGCACACAUGCAUCACAUGUAUCCAGCCUUAGGCAGACACCUGCUAUGGAAAAUGUGAGACCUGGUGGCCCAAGUCUGACAAUAGCAUCAGCAAUGGAAAAUGUGGUCUAAUUGUGGGAAUUAUCCAGCAGCAUU